GGAUGCUGCGGGAGGGGAAAGCCGUGGUGGGGCGUGCGGGUACGGCGGUGAAGCCCUGUGCCGUUCGGCGUCGUUCGGGCUCGGGCUGCAUUGGUGCGUCAGUGAGACUUCGCUGUGCAAGUCCUGCUGCAGUUUGCGCCCUGCGCUCCUUGUCCUGCGCGGCGGGAAGCUGAGCCACAAACAGACCUGUGCGUUUCCCUUACGUGGUGCGCUCGUCGGGCCGACCCGUCACAUCAACCCAUCGCACCCACCAUGCUGACCGCGGAGGGCGGCGUGGCAGUCCGCUCUCCGGAGCGUUCCCUGCGUCCCCGGCUCUUUGCAUGGGGCUCUACAAGCUCAGAAUGAGUCAGUGCUCCCCGAGGGGGGCUGGGGCACACUGGGGAGGCAGAGGGAUGGGGCGGCACAGUGCUGCGCUCCCACUGUGAAGAACUGUGGGCACACCUGCAGAGCGUCGUCCCUCAUCCAGCAAGCAGGCAAGAGUAUCGCCCUUGGACUGGAGCAAAACCAUCCAAGCCCAUAAAGACAAAGCAAGGCUUCAUUAUCCCAGAUGACCAUUUUGUCCAGGAGACAAGUUACAAGGCGGACUAUAAGAUCCCGGAGGUGAAGACCAGGUUCUCCCCCAACCCUUCUGCUGUUUUCCAGGCGCCGUCGCGGAUCCUCAACGUGUGACGCCGGGCCCUCCUCGCGCCGGGCAGCGCCACAGCGGUGCUUCCGACCGGACGUGUCACUAUGCAAUCUUCAGGAGGAGCGCUGGGAUCAGAGAACCGAUGUCAGCAGGAGCAGCUCCUGGGGCUGGGCGCUCUCCUUCUGCGAUUGUGCAGAUUGUGAAGCGCUCCAUUCAGAGCCAGCAAACACGCUCCGCUGUGCGCAGCGGCAGGGAGAAGUCACAAACAGGAGCGAGAACUGAUAGCAAACCCCCGGAGCAGCACGGAGCAGGGAGCACCUGCCUGACUUGUCAGCUUGCAGAGCUGCCUCCUGCACGCACCUCAGCACCAGAGCUCAGCACGGGAGGGCUGCUCUGCUCCGGACCCACAGGGUUGCUGGAGCCGCUGGCAGCUCCGCAGCGGCUGCGUUGGGGGGCUGUGUGUGCAGAGCGGUGAGCGCACGCUGCGCUUCGGAGGGUGUAGAAUACUGGUGGGUUGGAUGUAAAUAUUGCACCCGGAUUUUACCUAAAGCAGUUUGUGAUCCUUUAAGGAAGAGGACGUGCUUCUACUUUUAAUAAAUGUUAACUCUUUGCAUACGCAAGGUGGAAAGUGUUGCCUUGAAAUGCCUACGUUUCUGCCUGCCUAUCGGUGAUGUUAAUGUUAGUGGCUAGGAGCAACCAGAAGUGAAUGUUACUUAGAAACUCUUCUUAAAGAAAAACAUUAACAUGGAAUGUAUGACACCCCUCAUUGCUAAGAUAGGCCAUUUUCAGUGGCGUUACUCUAAGGCUCACUUUUUUUUAGGUGGGUGCGGAUUUAACUUUGCUGAGACGUGUGUGUUUUAAGAAACCAUCCUUUUUAGCCUCCCUUCAUCCCAACCACCGUGGUUUUACAGUUUCUAUCUCAGAGACUUAUGCAAUAUAAGAGCUCUUCACCUUCCCCCAGCUGAGGCCAAUGGCACAUUCAGUGAGCUCUGAGCAUUCUGCAAACACGCAGCCGGUGCUGCUAACCGAUACAAAGAGCACUGGAAGCAUUAGAGUGCGGAUGAUACAUGGCAUUCAUGCAGAAAGCAUCUCCUCAGUGCUUUAGGUGAGAAGCUGAUGUUCCCAGCAGCGUUGGGCUGGGGGGGUUGGUUGGCGUUGGCCCCCAGCCUUUGUUUUUGGCCCCGGGCCGUACGGUAACAGCAGUGCCGUAACUUUGCCAAAACCAUUUUUCAGGAGACUCAUUUUCCAAGGAAUGCACCCAAAGCGUUCGAACUCUGCCGAAGGUUUUGCAUGGCACGCGUUUCUAAGGAGAAACCCAUCUGCUCGAGUAAUCUCUUUGUAAUGUUUUUAGCUGUUUCGUUCCGUUUUGGUUCAUUUCAAUCCUGGAUUUUAUUAUCAGAAAAGCAGAAAAAUAAAAAAAAGGAUGCUUUGCCUAUCCCGCCUGUCUUGUGAACUCAGCCCAUUUCUGAAGACAUCAACCUGGCUGUAAGCAAACUGGGAAUACGAGCUCGUAUUUUAUCAAAGGGAAUGGAUUUGAUUUAAUAAAUUAAGACGUAUUUUGG
rnacentral:lncRNA from 7 species